ensembl:lncRNA
CUCUAAUGGAAAUUCCCAAAACCCGAGGUGCGGGAGGCGAGGGGUGGUGAGUCGCAAGGAGGGCAGCUCCAAAGGGAUUCUGCCAGGCGGGAGAAACGCAGCGGUCCCAUUUGGAGAACCAAAUGGAAGAAGUCCAGCGAAGGCCAGGAAGCUGAAGGGCAGGUUUGCCUGGUUGUGUGUCUGUCUGGGUGUCUGUCUGGGUGUGUGGGUGUGUGGGUGUGAGGGGGGGUGUUUUUCAUGGGUCCCGGCUAUUCCCAACAAUGCGGUAGCUGUAUGGAAAUAGCCAGGAAUGCGUGCCAACUGAGGAUGAUGCUUCCUCUCCGCUUCUCAACUUCCCGGGCAGAAGAGGCUGCAGAAGACUCGGAGGACCAAGGCUGCAGACCGUGGGGUUCAUCUCUCCUGACAUGCUGGCGUGGGUCUCCGUCGCGCUCCUGGCCCUUUCCCCCCUCUGUUGGACUCCCCCCUCUGUGGUGGGACGCUCCCUUUCAGGGACACCCGCCCAGGAGAUGCUCGGGGACCCCAGAGCCAACUGGACCACAGCUCUGCCCCAGUUGGCCUCGCCUCUGGUUUCCACAGCCGGGGCCAGAGAAGAAAAGGAUCCGGGCCCCACGGAGCCCCCCAAAAUCUCAACAACUCUUGCCAGGGCUCAAGAGGCUCCAGAGGGGCCACUCCCGUCCACCAGCAGCUCCACCACUGAGACCCCAAGGGACAACAAAGCUCCGAAAAAGCCCGUCCAGGUGAAAAUAGUCAAGAAAAAGAUUUUGAAGAAAAAGACCAAAAAGCUGCUAAAUCCGGAAACGGCCUCCCAAGAGGCAUCAGGUAGGUCCUUUUGGUCCCCUUUUGUCCUUCCUCCUCAGCCGGGAUGUUAUGC